rnacentral:rRNA from 1 species
UACCAGCACCCCGAGUUGUCGGGACGAUUAUUGGGCCUAAAGCGUCCGUAGCCUGUUCUGCAAGUCCUCCGUUAAAUCCACCCGCUUAACGGAUGGGCUGCGGGGGAUACUGCAGAGCUAGGAGGCGGGAGAGGCAAACGGUACUCAGUGGGUAGGGGUAAAAUCCAUUGAUCUACUGAAGACCACCAGUGGCGAAGGCGGUUUGCCAGAACGCGCUCGACGGUGAGGGAUGAAAGCUGGGGGAGCAAACCGG